GCGCUGCCUGGCGGGGAAAAGUGGUACUGAUUCUAAGGGCCCAGCCCAACGCAGCACGGCCCACGGCCCGCGGAUGGCAAUUAAUAAUAAAAUAUUAAUAUUCUUGCCUUUUUUUUUUUUUUUUUUGAAAUGUCUCAUUACAAAGAAAUGGUAAUUGGAAAUAAACGUAUUAAACUCAGAACUGUCGAUUUCCAUAACCUUUUCGUUAGUUAUUUAACAUAUUGUCAUUUGCCCUUCCCCCUGAGCUCUUGCGAAAUGGUUCAGCCGCAACGCGCGAUGCGUUGAAUCGAACAGCAUCCGAAAUGUGAGAUGCUGGCACUGGCAGCAGGUGUACAGAGCGGCUGGGCUGGCUGAGGUCAGGUCUUAACCACAUGAUGGUGAACUGGUGGUGACAGCUACAGAAAUGAAGUCAGGUUGGCAAAAACUGAAGGAAAGACGGGAGAAAGAGGAGAGGGCCAAAAGAGGCAGGCAACUGGUCACUAAAUUUUUCGCCAAUAAAGAAGGUAUGCUCACUUAAUGACCUUGCGUUUUCAAACUCUAUCAAAUGGUAGGCUAACAAGCAGAAUUCUUGGAUUAGCCUCCAAGAGAGCAUGCUAGUUAGCAUUGUUUCCUAUUUAAAAACUCCACCUUUAUUGUCACAGCGAACAAACGGCAAAUGUGGACGAACGACCGUGAUAAAGUAGUCUUUUAAUACAAAAUAUUUUUUUCAAAAGAACCUAACGGGGUGGUGUCUUAAAUAUGUGCAUUUUCAACUUCAGGAGGAGGACAAGAUCCGUCCACGGCCACCACGACUGGAUCCCAUUUCGGAGAAGGAGUAAGCAGAAACGGUGGAUUUUUUUGCAGUGCAUCAUGUCUUCUGAAAAGACUAUUGCAGUUAUACAAG